ACUAGCGGUAGCCUAGUUGGUUAGGGCGUCGGCACUUCGGCAGUACUGAUGCCGAUGGUCGCAGGUUCAAAUCCUGCCUGCGGUG